rnacentral:rRNA from 1 species
AUUGAACGCUGGCGGCAUGCCUUACACAUGCAAGUCGAACGGUAACAGGUCUUCGGAUGCUGACGAGUGGCGAACGGGUGAGUAAUACAUCGGAACGUGCCCGAUCGUGGGGGAUAACGGAGCGAAAGCUUUGCUAAUACCGCAUACGAUCUACGGAUGAAAGCAGGGGACCGCAAGGCCUUGCGCGGACGGAGCGGACGAUGGCAGAUUAGGUAGUUGGUGGGAUAAAAGCUUACCAAGCCGACGAUCUGUAGCUGGUCUGAGAGGACGACCAGCCACACUGGGACUGAGACACGGCCCAGACUCCUACGGGAGGCAGCAGUGGGGAAUUUUGGACAAUGGGCGAAAGCCUGAUCCAGCCAUGCCGCGUGCAGGAUGAAGGCCUUCGGGUUGUAAACUGCUUUUGUACGGAACGAAAAGCCUCUUUCUAAUAAAGAGAGGUCAUGACGGUACCGUAAGAAUAAGCACCGGCUAACUACGUGCCAGCCGCCGCAGUAAAAC